rnacentral:ncRNA from 13 species
CCAACGGCCCUCUUUAGGGCCACAAAUCAAUAUAAUCCUUUCAAU